rnacentral:rRNA from 1 species
UACAGAGGCCCCAAGCGUUACUGAGAAUCACUGGGUUUAAAGGGUGCGUAGGUGGCGCGUUAAGUCCGUUGUGAAAGCCCUGGGCUCAACCCAGGAACUGCUUCGGAUACUGGCGCGCUUGAGGCUAGUAGGGGUCACUGGAACUGACGGUGGAGCGGUGAAAUGCGUAGAUAUCGUCAGGAACGCCAAUGGUGAAGACAGGUGACUGGGCUAGUUCUGACACUGAGGCACGAAAGCGUGGGAGCGAACGGGG